rnacentral:rRNA from 1 species
AUUGAACGCUGGCGGCAUGCCUUACACAUGCAAGUCGAACGGCAGCACGGGUGCUUGCACCUGGUGGCGAGUGGCGAACGGGUGAGUAAUACAUCGGAACAUGUCCUGUAGUGGGGGAUAGCCCGGCGAAAGCCGGAUUAAUACCGCAUACGAUCUACGGAUGAAAGCGGGGGACCUUCGGGCCUCGCGCUAUAGGGUUGGCCGAUGGCUGAUUAGCUAGUUGGUGGGGUAAAGGCCUACCAAGGCGACGAUCAGUAGCUGGUCUGAGAGGACGACCAGCCACACUGGGAUUGAGACACGGCCCAGACCCCUACGGGAGGCAGCAGGGGGGAAUUUUGGACAAGGGGCGAAAGCCUGAUCCAGCAAUGCCGGGUGUGUGAAGAAGGCCUUCGGGUUGAAAAGCACUUUUGUCCGGAAAAAAAUCCUUGGCUCUAAAACAGCCGGGGGAUGGCGGUACCGGAAGAAUAAGCACCGGCUAACUACGU